rnacentral:rRNA from 1 species
CACACGGAUAACAUACCGAAAGGUAUGCUAAUACGGGAUAAUAUAUUUGAGAGGCAUCUCUUAAAUAUCAAAGGUGAGCCAGUACAGGAUGGACCCGCGUCUGAUUAGCUAGUUGGUAAGGUAACGGCUUACCAAGGCGACGAUCAGUAGCCGACCUGAGAGGGUGAUCGGCCACAUUGGAACUGAGACACGGUCCAAACUCCUACGGGAGGCAGCAGUGGGGAAUAUUGCACAAUGGGCGAAAGCCUGAUGCAGCAACGCCGCGUGAGUGAUGAAGGCCUUCGGGUCGUAAAACUCUGUCCUCAAGGAAGAUAAUGACGGUACUUGAGGAGGAAGCCCCGGCUAACUACGUGCCAGCAGCCGCGGUAAUACGUAGGGGGCUAGCGUUAUCCGGAUUUACUGGGCGUAAAGGGUGCGUAGGCGGUCUUUCAAGUCAGGAGUGAAAGGCUACGGCUCAACCGUAGUAAGCUCUUGAAACUGGGAGACUUGAGUGCAGGAGAGGAGAGUGGAAUUCCUAGUGUAGCGGUGAAAUGCGUAGAUAUUAGGAGGAACACCAGUUGCGAAGGCGGCUCUCCGGACUGUAACUGACGCUGAGGCACGAAAGCGUGGGGAGCAAACAGGAUUAGAUACCCUGGUAGUCCACGCUGUAAAC